GGACGCGAUCAUAUCAGCACUAAAGCACCGGAUCCCAUCAGAACUCCGAAGUUAAGCGUGCUUGGGCGAGAGUGACCUCCUGGGAAGUCCUCGUGUUGCAUUCC
rnacentral:rRNA from 1 species